UAAAAAUAAUGAUGAGGAACAGUUGAUGAAUCAACAAUGUUGUUUUAACCCAGUAGCCCAAAAGUUCCUUGUAUAGUAAUACAGUAAUAAUCUCUCAAAUUCUACAUAUUACACAAUAACUCCUUUUACAUCUUAUUUAUCAUCUUCUCCGCGCUAUACAUCAUCACUUUCAAUCAAUCAAUCCAUCCUCGUCAGCAAGUGCCUUUUCCGUGAGUCAUGUAUCAUAAAUAUCAACCAGUGGAGCAUACAAAAUAUUUGAUUAAAAAUGUCAAAAGCAUCAAGAAAGAUAUUGCCAAGAUAUUUGCAUCACUUUUCGAGGACUCUACCAUGAGAGCUAUUGAAGAAAAAACGGAUUUUGUUGCUCGUAUUAGUUAUGAGGACUCAUGGUGUCGUGCGGAUCCUAGUAUCAGGAUAUCCAAUUCCACUUAUGCCUGAUUCCCUCUUCAUCUUUAUGGAAACAUAAAUAAAAUAAAAAGGUUAUUGCAUAAAAAGUAACCAAGCAUUUAUUUUAUCUCUUUAACGUCUGUGACAAUCUUUUUUUUGGUUAUUUAAUUAUAUUAUUUGUCAAUAUUAAGAAAAUAUGUUAAAUUUAUGUGUUAAAUAUUUAUCUCACAAAAUAAAAUGAAUUAUUUUUGUAUUCAGCACAAUAUAAUCUUUGCUGUCUCUCGCAACCUUUCCUCCAAAUAGAGAAAUAAAAAAGGCUCAAAAA
rnacentral:lncRNA from 1 species